GCAGUCCUACUGAGAGCCUCUAGGGGCUACUGCAGUUCAAUAAAUAGCAAUAAAUAAAAUGCAAAACUGGUUUUGAGUCUGAUAUGGGCCGUGUUAAUCUCUGGCGUACUAUCUUGGAUUUCAGAGGAGUUACAUGCAAUGGAAUUUGGCCCACUGACCACGUGCUGUCUGCUCCCACAUUUGCCACGAAGGAGAAAGGAUGUCAACAAAACAUCAGCUUUCCUGACUUCUGGAAUUAACCUCUAGUACAUAUUAGCAGCAGCCUUUUAAGCAGUUUUUACGCUGAGAGACGUUCAGCACGGUGACUGCGGAGGGGUGUGCUCUCACGCAGCCGAGAGGUGAGCUCCUUGGCAUGAGGUGUGCAGUGCAGCCCCUUCAGCAUACGCUGCUAACGAGUCACCGCAAUCAGCUGCCAGUCCCUGGGCAAGCACCUCCUCUUCAGGUAGCAGGUAUGUUGUCACCCUUGGCGGGCGAGGGCCUGAACUCCCGACAUCUCCAGGAGCGCAGGUCAUGUAAGAAGGGAAAACAGCGCUGCACCUUUGAUGUAGUUUUAAUAAAUAUUCAAAGUCCCUUCAAUUACUGCCUGAGUAAUUAGUGUGGAUGCAAAUAAAAUG